UCAUGACGCGUUCUGAACUCGCAAUCCUUCCACAGUUUUCUGCUUAGGACAUGGCAGGUGGUUUCCAACACAUCCAGGGUGAGAUAGAAGACAGAGCCUGCAGCUCCCUACAGAUGAGAAGAAGACAAAAACUUUUACAGCACAACAUGGAACAGAAUUUGAAAAGGCAAGGUUCUCCUCUUUGAAACUGGUGUAAUCCUCAGGUGGAGUUCAGCAAAUGCUAUGCAGACCACAGUUUUCCCUCUGCACAACUGAAGUGAUGGGCAGGGAAGCAGAGACGUUGACCUUGCGGUGAGCUGGCUGGGAGCGCUGCUCUGGAAAUGCAGGUGGGAGGAAAGAUAAAGGAAGCUAACUGGGAAAGCCAAAUAAUCACAGAGGAAUUCCUGAAGUCCGGGCAUUGCAGGAUCGAGUGCAAGAGGACAAGAGAUUCUGGCUCAAGCCUUAAAAGGGCUUCCAAGCUAGCCUCCAAACGUACCUUCAGGCCCUUCCCAAUGGAUAUCAGAGCAAGCCACUUGUUAUAAAAAAGAUUUUUUAAAGCAUGUGUAUGCGUUUAUGUGAAUUGCUGAAAUCUAUGUUUAAUGUUUAUACCCACCUGGUGAUCAUAGAUAGUACAGUCCACAUGGAUAUCUUCAGAAGGGGCAUUGGCUGCAGCAUCGAGAGGACGAGGAAACUUCUGGAGAACGGAUGCCUUACAGAAUCCAAAAUGCUUGAAGAAGAUGAAGAAGAAGAAGAAAGCAGUAGAGACAUCAUGAACGGAAGGCUGGUAUCACAGCCAUGCAGCAUGGUGCAGAAAGUCCCACACAUUCCCAUCUUCCUCAAAUAAACAAUCCCCAAAGUGUCAGAACUGGAAAAUGACUGGGUAGAGCUGCAUCUAAAAACCAGCUUGUUUAUCUAUCUACAUUUUGUUGUUGUUAUGUGCCUUCAAGUCGAUUACGACUUAUGGCGACCCUAUGAAUCAGUGACCUCCAAGAGCAUCUGAAUACAAGUGGUUCCUUGGAGAUCAACCAUCCAAGCACUGA